rnacentral:rRNA from 1 species
UACGAAGGGGGCUAGCGUUGCUCGGAAUGACUGGGCGUAAAGGGCGCGUAGGCGGCGUGUACAGUCAGAUGUGAAAUUCCUGGGCUCAACCUGGGGGCUGCAUUUGAUACGUAUGGGCUUGAGUGGGGAAGAGGGUCGUGGAAUUCCCAGUGUAGAGGUGAAAUUCGUAGAUAUUCGGAAGAACACCAGUGGCGAAGGCGGCUCACUGGUCCGGUACUGACGCUGAGGUGCGAAAGCGUGGGGAGCAAACAGG